rnacentral:lncRNA from 1 species
GCCCGCCUCGGCCUCCCAAAGUGCUGGGAUUACAGGCUUGAGCCACUGCGCCUGGCCAGAAGACAGUUAUUGCCUCAACUUACAGCUCAUCCAAGAUCAACUGCAGAGGAGGACGAGGGAAAUUUUAUAUGGGAACAAUUAUCUGAAAAAUAGUCAUUCAUCGAUUCAAGCUCUGACAUCUUUCGGUUCUGCCAUUCCCCCAGAGAAUGUCCUCAUUUGUAUGGUCAAGGCUGGGUUGCAGAGAAGUCCAUGUUGCAGCUCAUGGAAAAAAAGAACCAAAGGGACUCAAGAACACUGGCUUAUGUCUUAGAUUGGAGAUGACCUGGAAAGUCAACUUUCACCCAUAACCCAUUGGCCUAAAGUAAGUCCCAGAGUCAACUUGAAUUGCAAGGGAUCCGGAGUAAUGCUGUUUAUACCUGGAGUGCUGGGGACCCAGCUUAAACUCUACCACCAUAGAAGACAGGGAAGAUAGAUUUUGAUGGAUGACCAGAAGUUUCUGUUACAUGUACAACAGAUUAAAAAUAUAUAUAUUGCCAGCUGGGUGUGGUGGCUCAUGCCUGUAAUCCCAGAACUUUGGGAGUCCAA